UACGAAGGGGGCGAGCGUUGUUCGGAUUUAUUGGGCGUAAAGGGCGCGCAGGCGGCCACGCACGUCCGUUGUGAAAUCGCUCGGCUCAACUGGGCGGGGUCAGCGGAUACGGCGCGGCUGGAGCAAGCUAGGGGGCAAUGGAAUUCCCGGUGUAGUGGUGGAAUGCGUAGAGAUCCGGAAGAACACCGGUGGCGAAGGCGGUCUGCUGGGCAGUUGCUGACACUGAGGCGCGACAGCGUGGGGAGCAAACAGG
rnacentral:rRNA from 1 species